UCCAGAGUUGACCCCCAAGGACCAUAAAAAAUUAACGCCAUCCAGCUUGGAAGAGGACCACGCAAACAAAUAAAGUCCCUCAGAAGAUCCAGACUUGUGACGUUCACUAUUUGUUUUUGGGACUUAAUACUGUAGUAGUUCUCUUUUCAGAUGGACGUGGCUUACCCCCUACUAUGAGUCAUGCUAAACUGACACUUUUGGAUAAAACAAAUGACACAUGAACAUUUUUUCCAGGUGACUGAAGCCCCUCUAAUCAAAAGACUUCGGCGAUAGGAACCAAAGGAGCCCGCCACAAUUUUUGUGGUAUCCAGAGGUACCCUUCUAUGGCCACGAAGACUCCUUAAAGGGAUUUAGGGAUUAGUGAGUGAAUGAGUGACUAAAUGAACAGUAUAGUAGUAUAGUGUAGUAUCAAAAGAGGGGGUAGCAGAUCUGGUUGGCGUUAUAGUCUCUUCCCUGGGGACUUGUCUCUACGCGGGCAAAGUCCUCAGGACGUGGACAGAAGAGGACCUGUGAAGUAGGCGAUAAGGUGGCGGAAUAUACC